CUUUUCCAGAGACAUUACGUUUAUGAGGUUUCUCCCCUGUGUGAAUUCGCUGAUGUAAGAGGAGGUUUGACUUUUGUGUAAAGGCUUUUCCACAGUCAUUACAUUUAUGAGGUUUCUCCCCUGUGUGAAUUCGCUGGUGUGUGAUGAGUUCUGACUUUUGUCCAAAGGCUUUUCCACAGUCAUUACAUAUAUGAGGUUUCUCCCCUGUGUGAAUUAGAUGGUGUAUGAUGAGGUUUGACUUUUGUCCAAAGACUUUUCCACAGUCAUUACAUUUAUGAGGUUUCUCCCCUGUGUGAAU